AAAACAUUCUUUUUUCUUCUGGCUGUGUGUAUUUGUUCUCUCUCCCUCACGAUCUCUGCUGCCUGAUUUUCCUCCCUGCUGUUUGACUCCUGUCACCUUCCCCUCUUUCCUCAGGGCAUUCCUUCUCCUUCCCAUAACAGUUCCAGCAGGCUGGGAGAUGCAGCUAACCAGAUGUGCCAGCUAUUUGAAGCCAAGAUCGUAGUGGUCAGAUGUCAGUUGGUUCCUAGUCCAGAGGCAAUUUUUCUACUUUGGAAAAACCCCACAAAAUACAGACCUGGGAAGGACUACCCAAUCACUGGAUCAUGACUCCUCACCAGCAGGGAGGGAUGCUGGCAACACACAUAGCCUGAGGAUUGCUCCCCUUCCCGUUGCAUUUUGGUUAUGGCACUGCUGUGCUGAAGCACACAUCCUGACAUCUGGCUCUGCAGGAUGAGCUUUCUUACUGUUUCGUACUACUUUGUGUCACAUGAAGGGAUUGUGGAGCUGUGUAGUCAUCUCAAAUCUGCGCCAGCACCUAGUGGGAAAUGAUGUGUUCUGGACUGUGUUGGUGCUGCUGUGUAGUACCACUGACGUGCAGAUGACUUCUGGAAAAGGUUGGCAUGAAAGCAUUGCAGCUUGUGACAGGAAGAGCUGCCGAUCAAGUGACGAGCUGAGAGCUGAGAGCAGAGCCCAGAUCUGUGGAGCAUGGGGACUCAGCUCUGCUUUUUUUCUGCAAAUGACUUUUAAAAAUACAAGGACAACAGUCUUGAUUAGAAAGGCCAAGCUACGCAAUUAUUUCUUCCUUGUGAAAGGAGGUGUCAGGGAGGAAGAUGUUUUUCUCUCCGUUGUCUGCCUGCCUUGCUGAGCUCAUUUCAGCUGACGUUACUCAGGCAGCAAUGCCCAG
ensembl:lncRNA